rnacentral:rRNA from 1 species
UACAGAGGGUGCAAGCGUUAAUCGGAAUUACUGGGCGUAAAGCGAGCGUAGUCGGUUAUUUAAGUCGGAUGUGAAAGCCCGGGGCUCAACCUCGGAACUGCCUUCGAUACUGGCUAUCUUGAGUACGGGAGAGGUGUGUGGAACUCCGAGUGUAGAGGUGAAAUUCGUAGAUAUUCGGAAGAACACCAGUGGCGAAGGCGACACACUGGCCCGUUACUGACGCUGAGGCGCGAAAGCGUGGGGAGCAAACAGG